rnacentral:pre_miRNA from 13 species
AAACCCCCUUAGCAAUUCUUGCACUAGACCAAGCACUGGAUAAUCUGUGGUAAGUUUUCCAGUACCUAUGUGUAGUACAAAAACCGCAUUUCAGGUUAUAUCAA